GAGAAGCUAGGGGUUGGGUGAUGCCGUCCGGGACGGAUAGGGACGAUUCUGGAGAAGGAGCCUGAGAACGGCUACUACUCUACGGAAGGCAGCAGGCGCGUAAUUACCCAAUCCUGACUAGGGAGGUGGUGACAAGAUAUAACAACAACGAUGCAAAUCGUGAUUGUAGUGAGGGUAUUCUAAACCGAACCACUAGUACGAUUAGAGGGCAAGUCUGGUGCCAGCAGCCGCGGUAAUUCCAGCUCUAAUAGCGUAUAUUAAAGUUGCUGCAGUUAAAAGCUCGUAGUUGGAUUUCAAGGACAGCUUUACCUCUUUGAGGUAGGCUUUCUUUCUAGUCUUUGACUGUACUGUGAGAAAAUUAGAGUGUUUAAAGCAGGCUUUCGCAAGAUUACAUUAGCAUGGAAUAACGAUGUGUUAGAUCUUGGUUAUUCUAAUUACGAUAAGAGACGCGUGGGGGCAUUAGUAUUAGCAGAGGGAAUCUUGGAUUGUCACCACUACUCUCCCGCUAUAUCAUUUGCCAGGAUGUUUUCGUAAUCAGACCACCCACCCGCGCACCCACCCAUCUGAUACUGUUGUAGUCUAUCUAUAACCAUGCCGACCACGAUUGAAUGAAAUAUACAUUUCAGUACCUUAUGAAAAUCAAGUCUUUGGGUCCUGGGGGAGUAUGUCUCAUAGCCUCAAUCUACUAAUUGACUGAUUUCCCACCAGAUGAACCGCGCUAUGACCACCGGGAACUUACAGCGACUUGAAGAUGCAAUGAGCUUCUGAUUCAUGGGGGGGGCAUGCGUCUAUGGGAAGAUUGCUGC
rnacentral:rRNA from 1 species